rnacentral:rRNA from 1 species
UAUCAGCCUUUUGGGCAUGAUUCUGUGGAGCGUGAGGAGUUAAACGCCUUCAUGCCUGCAUAUUCGUGUACUUUGGGUGUACUUGUCCGUGUGGUUAGUUAACAUCAAUUUUGGUUAUCAUAAAAUGGCUGGAGGAAUGUAGCUUCGAUUUCGAUUGAAGUGUUAUAGCCUUCGGCAGACGUGAUGAUCGGGAUUGAGGAUUGCAACGGAUACCCUUCGGGGCUACCUGUCUGAUCUCUGAUCGUUGCUCUGGUGCCGAAAGCGUGCUUACGGUUAUCAAAGUCGAUGGUUAAUAGGUUAGAACGGGUUAAAUUCGUUAAGGAUGUUGACGUA